rfam:Myotis lucifugus cont2.12924, whole genome shotgun sequence.
GGCAGUUCUCAGGUGACACAUUCUGAAAUCAGGCUCCCUCCUCUGUAGUGCCAGGUGCGUCACCCGAGAACUGCA